AACGAACGCUGGCGGCGCGCCUAAUACAUGCAAGUCGAGCGAGAAGGUGUAGCAAUACACUUGUAAAGCGGCGAACGGGUGAGGAAUGCAUGGGUAACCUACCCUCGAGUGGGGAAUAACUAGCCGAAAGGUUAGCUAAUACCGCAUACGUUUCCGGAACUUCGGUUUCGGAAAGAAAGCAAUACCGUGGGUAUUGCGCUCCUGGAUGGGCUCAUGUCCUAUCAGCUUGUUGGUGAGGUAACGGCUCACCAAGGCUUCGACGGGUAGCUGGUCUGAGAGGACGAUCAGCCACACUGGCACUGCGACACGGGCCAGACUCCUACGGGAGCAGCAGUAAGGAAUAUUGCGCAAUGGACGAAAGUCUGACGCAGCGACGCCGCGUGGGGGAUGAAGGUCUUCGGAUUGUAAACCCCUUUCGGGAGGGAAGAUGGAGUGGGUAACCACUUGGACGGUACCUCCAGAAGCAGCCACGGCUAACUUCGUGCCAGCAGCCGCGGUAAU
rnacentral:rRNA from 1 species